CGCCCUUUGCAAAGUGAUAUACUUAAGUAUAAAGGGUCCUGCCUGCCCGGUGACCUAGUUAAACGGCCGCGGUAUUUUGACCGUGCGAAGGUAGCAUAAUCAUUUGCCUUUUAAAUGGAGGCUGGUAUGAAUGGCAAGACGGAAGUUAAGCUGUCUCUCUCUCGAAGCUUGAAGUUAAUAUUUUUGUGAGGAAGCAGGAAUAAAAUCGUAGGACGAGAAGACCCUAUCGAGCUUUUAGUAGAAAGGUUAAACUGUAAAAAAUUAUCUAUUUGCUAAUUAGCAUAUUUUUGAUAAAAGUUGGAAUUUACUAUAUAGAUAAGUUGUGUUGUUUGCUAACUACUUAGGUUGGGGCAAUCGCGGAGAAGAUUUAUCCUCCGCUGUAGAAUAAGAAUAAAGUUAUUACUUUUGGGUAGUAUUAAAUAAAAGGAGUGAUCCGUCGUAAGGCGAGCAAAGGAAUAAGUUACCGUAGGGAUAACAGCGUAAUUUUUUUAGAGAGUUCAUAUUGAUAAAAGGGUUUGCGACCUCGAUGUUGGAUCGGGAUUUCCAGGGGGUGCAGAAGCUCCUGAGGGUUGGUCUGUUCGACCAUUAAAAUCCU
rnacentral:rRNA from 1 species